UACGGAGGAUCCGAGCGUUAUCCGGAUUUAUUGGGUUUAAAGGGUGCGUAGGUGGCCUGUUAAGUCAGUGGUGAAAGUUUGCGGCUCAACCGUAAAAUUGCCAUUGAUACUGAUGGGCUUGAGUACAGAUGAGGUAGGCGGAAUGUGUCAUGUAGCGGUGAAAUGCAUAGAUAUGACACAGAACACCGAUUGCGAAGGCAGCUUACUAAGGUGUAACUGACACUGAGGCACGAAAGCGUGGGGAGCGAACAGG
rnacentral:rRNA from 1 species